rnacentral:sRNA from 1 species
GAUACCAGGGCCAAAAGUCUGAAACCAUGCCAUGCUUGCAUGGCAGUGGGGAAAAGACUUUAUGACCCGCGAAAACAUGAGGAAAAAGUGGGGUAGGGCCCUCGCGAUUUCCGAAUGUUUUGCAGAAUUGUGGGAGCACGAAGGGCGAAACAAUUCGUCUG